rnacentral:rRNA from 1 species
UACAGAGGGUGCAAGCGUUGUUCGGAAUUACUGGGCGUAAAGCGUGCGUAGUCGGUAUUGAGAGUCGCGGGUGAAAUCCCAGGGCUUAACCCUGGAACUGCCUGCGAGACCUCAGUACUAGAGUGUGAGAGGGGAUAGUGGAAUACCCAGUGUAGCGGUGAAAUGCGUAGAGAUUGGGUGGAACACCGGUGGCGAAGGCGGCUAUCUGGCUCACAACUGACGAUCAGGCACGAAAGCGUGGGGAGCAGACAGG